GUCGAGGGGUAUAAGUCUUCGGAUUUAGAGACCGGCGCACGGGUGCGUAACGCGUAUGCAAUCUACCUUUUACAGGGGGAUAGCCCAGAGAAAUUUGGAUUAAUACCCCAUGGUAUAAUUGAAUGGCAUCAUUUAAUUAUUAAAGUCACAACGGUAAAAGAUGAGCAUGCGUCCCAUUAGCUAGUUGGUAAGGUAACGGCUUACCAAGGCAACGAUGGGUAGGGGUCCUGAGAGGGAGAUCCCCCACACUGGUACUGAGACACGGACCAGACUCCUACGGGAGGCAGCAGUGAGGAAUAUUGGUCAAUGGGCGCAAGCCUGAACCAGCCAUGCCGCGUGCAGGAUGACGGUCCUAUGGAUUGUAAACUGCUUUUGCACAGGAAGAAACACUGAUUCGUGAAUCAGCUUGACGGUACUGUGAGAAUAAGGAUCGGCUAACUCCGUGCCAGCAGCCGCGGUAAUACGGAGGAUCCAAGCGUUAUCCGGAAUCAUUGGGUUUAAAGGGUCCGUAGGCGGUUUGGUAAGUCAGUGGUGAAAGCCCAUCGCUCAACGGUGGAACGGCCAUUGAUACUGCUAAACUUGAAUUAUUAGGAAGUAACUAGAAUAUGUAGUGUAGCGGUGAAAUGCUUAGAGAUUACAUGGAAUACCAAUUGCGAAGGCAGGUUACUACUAAUGGAUUGACGCUGAUGGACGAAAGCGUGGGUAGCGAACAGGAUUAGAUACCCUGGUAGUCCACGCCGUAAACGAUGGAUACUAGCUGUUGGGAGCAAUCUCAGUGGCU
rnacentral:rRNA from 1 species